CGCGGGCCGAGAGCCACCCAGCGGGGCGGAGCCAGUGGCCGGCCCACCCGCGGCUGAGGGAAGAUGGCGGCCGCGGCGGUGCUGGCCGCCGGGCUGCGCGGGGCGCGCAGGGUCGUGGCGGCCGCGGGGCCGCGGGGGGCGCAGGUCCGAGGGGCUGCAGGCGUGACUGAUGGGAACGAAGUGGCCAAGGCUCAGCAGGCAGCUCCCGGGGGAGCAGCCCCCACCAUCUUCUCUCGGAUCCUGGAUGGAAGCCUCCCAGCUGACAUUCUGUAUGAGGACCAGCAGUGUCUCGUAUUCCGUGACGUGGCCCCUCAGGCUCCUGUGCACUUCCUGGUCAUUCCUAAGAAGCCCAUUCCUCGGAUUAGCCAGGCUGAAGAAGGAGACCAGCAGCUUCUAGGACACCUUCUCCUUGUGGCCAAGGAGACAGCAAAGGCUGAGGGGCUGGGAGAUGGAUACCGACUUGUGAUCAACGAUGGGAAGCUGGGUGCACAGUCUGUCUAUCACCUGCACAUUCACGUGCUUGGGGGCCGACAGCUCCAGUGGCCUCCAGGUUGAAGCUACCAACUGACAAAGGACCACAGACCCGGAUGCAUGGAUGGGAUGGGAAAAAAGCUGUUGUCUGAUGUACUUUUAUCCUCAAAAAUUUUAAGAAGACUACCUCCCCCACCCCUCCACUUUUGAGAGUGAACUAAGGGAAAGUACUGUUGCCCUCCCACAAAUACACCAGGCAGACUUUUGUCUGCUACCACA